rnacentral:SRP_RNA from 1 species
GCCAGGUGCAGUGGCGCGUGCCUAUAGUCCCAGCUACUCUGGAGGCUGAGAUGGGAGGAUCGCUUGAGCCCAGGAGUUCUGGGUUGUAGUGCGCUAUGCUGAUCGGGUGUCGGCGCUAAGUUUGGCAUCAAUAUGGUGACCUCUCGGGAGCAGGGGACCACCAGGUUGCCUAAGGAGGGGUGAACUGCCCUAGGUCUGGCCCAGGUCAGAAACGGAGCAGGUCAAAACCCCCGUGCUGAUCAGUAGUGAGAUCGCACCUGUGAAUAGCCAGCCUGGGCAACAUAGCGAAACCCCGUCUCU